rnacentral:lncRNA from 1 species
GAGGCAGAAGCCAUAUCACCUUUUAGGAUCCCUCUUGGAAGGCAUAUGGCAUCACUUCUGAUGGAUUGAGGCAGUCAUAGACCUUCACCCAGGUUCGAGUUUGCAGGGUACCAGGCAUUGAACCUAAGAGGGUAGAGUGAUGGACUCCUUGUUGGUACCUGGAUGAGGCCUCCCGUGUCGACAUAAAACAGACCAGAUGGACACGUCAUGCUGCUAUUGUGCAAACAGGCAGGACUGCUAUCUCCUGUCUAGAAACAACUUUACCAACGCUUUUAUUCCACCGGCUGGCCUCACCAGUUCUAACCAUCACUAAAUGAUGAAAACCCUGGGCAGCCCUCCCCCUAGCCCACUACAAAGAGUUGCCCUUUUGAGCAGCAGCUCUGUUGCAACCUGAAGGCUGAAGUUUGGAGCUUUGCCUUCAUGACUUAAACUUGGAGACUCACACUGGACCCAUCAUUAGUUUUCUGUAGCCCUGUUUUGAUAGGUGCGGCUGGUCUUUCCCUAGAGCAGUUACCUUGCCCCUUCCUCCUGAAGAAUUACGUUCUACUUCUUGGCAGUGCUGCACUCAGUCUUUGAGAGGCAAAAUGAAUUUCUGGACACUACAGAGUCUGUAAUUCCAGCAAUCACAAAUACACUCUUUGAAUACAUUAAAGAAUUGCCAGGAUCUUUUCACCUAACAUCAUGCAGUUUAUAGAGAGACACUUGCAUGUAGAUUAGGUCAAGUGCCUAGCUCGGUACUUUAAUCAAGUUUUACUGUAAUGCAGUUGAAAGGUAGGUUUAUCUAUAAUGUAGCGAUAACUGUUAUAAUUUUCCUUAUACAUAUUUUAUAUCUCAUGGACUGUGGAAUAGGAAGAGGGUCUGAGUAUAGGAAAUGGGGGUAAAGAGAAAUUUUUUGAAAGUUUCUUACAUUUAGGAAAGUGGGAUUUCAAAUAACGGAUUAAGGGAGGCAGCUUUGAGCUCUCAUAAGGAAAGAACCGGAUUUGCCUUGGAUGGAUAGAAUUAAAGAAGAAUCAAUAUUUUUGACUAAAUGAUUAGGAAAAAAAAAACCAACCCAGGUCACUGUUACUCUGUGAUAAUGUGAAGUCUACAUAUGCAAAGGUAAUGUUCUUUUCCAUCACCAGUGGGAAAAAGGAAUUUGUAGACUUUAGCAUUAUUUUUUUCUAAUGCCAUCUACAAACAAACUGCUUUGAAAUUCCGAAGACCAAAAAUCAUUUCUUUAGACAACUAGAGGGUGGCUUGCAAGCCUGAACACAAACCAUUGAGAAUGCAGUGCUGGAAACUCCUUUAAAAAAAAAAAAACACGUAAAAUCCAGAACAGGCAGACCAUUAAGCUGGAAAAAGAAAUGAAUAUAACCUCGCAGGCAAGAAGAAAAGCAAAUACUCACUCUAAAGCGGCCGCUGUUGAUGCAAGCAAAGGUUAGAGCAACAAGGCUACUUUCUAACAAAGUGUGAAUCCCAUUAGUGCUGAAGUGUUAUCCCUCCUUAGUCCUUCCAUCUCAGCCAGAACAGAGUUAGGAUUUUACUUCCAUCUGCAUCUCAAGGCUGGUAAAUAGGACCCAUGGAGACGGGCAAAAACGGUGAAGCCAUUCAAAAGGCAUCUUCGUCUUCGCAUAAGACGUUGACAUACACACAAUAGGCAGUGGCCCAAGUCUGCCCAAACACCCCUUUAGCAUGCUUAGGUGGACAGAAUAGGGAGCUGGCCUCCCCCAGUUUCCCAGCAUCCCCUGCAGCCCCCAUUGUCUCUUCCCAAGCACACAAUGGUGCCAUUUCACGAUUGGUACAUUAGAAGCGAAGCACUUGGAAAAGUUUCUUUGGGGAGUUCAGAAUUUAAACUGUUCCAUUUAAAGAAGAAGAAGGGGAAAGUGGAAGAGAUGCUGCAGCAGCUGAAAAAGUAAAACAUCUGGAAGUUAUCAGUGACUUACUUAUUCGUGUGCCCAAUACCCAAGUGAUGGACUAACUUGAGCGCUGUAGUCCAAUGGACACUGAUUGUUCACUACAGCAGUUCAUCUGCAAGGAUCUGUAAUCUAAAUCCUUGCAUUUGUUAUUUUCUGUAUCAAGGUCUGUCUAGCAUGUCUCCUAGGCUGGAUUGUGUCAUUGAGCAGAACCAAAUAAAAUCACAAAUUGGAGUUACCUAUUCCCAUAAAGAAAAAUCCAAUGUAAGAAAAGUUCGUACCCUUGCAAAGAUUUUCAACAUGGUUGCAAUCAAGUCAUUUUCCAAUUGUAUAAGUAAAUAACAUUGACCACAUGAAAUAUUCUGCCAGAAGUACAUAGUUGCUAUGAUUUUUUUAAAGGUGUAAAGCUAAGUGUUCAAAUUUGCAAUUAUUGAACUUGGGUUUCGGCACUGAGUGUGUGCGGUGAAAGUGUAGGAUAAUUAUACCACUGUGUGUUUAACACAAAGAGCAUUUCUAUCUCAGGGAAAAACUUUCUGAUUCCCAACUGCACAAAGCUGUACCAACUUGCCAAGAAUGAGGAAAUAAAAAAAUCCACUGGAAAUAACAUUCAGUUGUUCACAUUAGCAUUGAAGACGACUGUGGUUUAGAAAUUUCCCCUUUUUUAAUUACAGCAAGUAAACUAUUUUGCCAACUCUCUUUGGGCAGCUCAAUUUUCAUCCUAGCUGACUGCCUGAAAAUGAAGCUGUCAAGAAUCCUAAGUUGAAAUUGUUUUUGUGAAAAGAAUGUUUAUUAUGGUAUGUCUCCAAAAAUUGUGGAGAAUCUGUUCAGAAAGAUCCAUCUUCUUCAAACUGUGUUCAAUGCAUAGUUUUAUUAUUUCAA